AGAUAAAUAAAUGUAUCUGCAAUGACUUCUGGUCUGUAUUUACCCAUUGUUCUGCCUCAGAGGAAAGGACCCACAUGAAGCUACAAGUGAAGAGCCACAUGGAAACUUCUUCCUGCAGUUGAUUAGAAGAGUUUGGGCUCACAGAUGCUGGGAGCCCCUACUGUGCAAAGAGACAGGCUGACUGCUCAAAGGAAGGCAGAGAGAGGAAGACAGUAGAAGUUACCUGCCUCCUACAACCAGGGACAAUCUACAGUGAUGAGGC
rnacentral:sRNA from 1 species